rnacentral:rRNA from 1 species
UACGAGGGGGGCAAGCGUUGUUCGGAAUUAUUGGGCGUAAAGGGCGCGUAGGCGGUCUGAUAAGUCAUCUGUGAAAUCUAUGGGCUCAACCCAUAGUCUGCAGGCGAAACUGUCGGGCUUGAGUAUGGGAGAGGUGAGUGGAAUUUCCGGUGUAGCGGUGAAAUGCGUAGAUAUCGGAAGGAACACCUGUGGCGAAAGCGGCUCACUGGACCAUUACUGACGCUGAUGCACGAAAGCUAGGGGAGCAAACAGG